GCGUGAAAAACAGACAAUAAGGACAGACCAGAACUCUCUGUACCUUCUGUUCACUUCUGCUGUGAACCCAAAACCGCCGGAAAAAGAAAGAAAAAGAAGCCAGAGCGGCACGCUGAUGUCAACCGGCCGGCCUCCCC